GACGAACGCUGGCGGCGUGCUUAACACAUGCAAGUCGAACGAAGUGGCGGACGGGUGAGUAACGCGUAAUCAACCUGCCCUUCAGAGGGGGACAGCAGUUGGAAACGACUGCUAAUACCGCAUAAUGAAGGAGUGCAUUGCGUCUGAUUAGCUAGUUGGGGGGGUAACGGCCCACCAAGGCGAUGAUCAGUAGCCGGUCUGGGAUGAUGAACGGCCAAAUUGGGACUGGGACACGGCCCAGACUCCUACGGGAGGCAGCAGUGGGGAAUCUUCCGCAAUGGACGAAAGUCUGACGGAGCAACGCCGCGUGAGUGAUGACGGCCUUCGGGUUGUAAAGCUCUGUUAAUCGGGACGCGGUACCGGAAUAGAAAGCCACGGCUAACUACGUGCCAGCAGCCGCGGUAAUAC
rnacentral:rRNA from 1 species